CCCCACCUUUCUCUCUAGUCUCUAGUUUCUAGUCUCUACCCCCAGGCCCCAGACUCCUGCCUCUUCUCUCUCUCGCCCACCCGCCCCGGCCCCAAUGUCGCCGCCCCUCGAGCCCCACGACUACAUCGGCCUCUCCGCCGCCGCCGCCGCGGCGCCGCCGACACCGACCUCCUCCUCGUCGUCCUCGUCCUCGCCGGCGCCCCGCCUCACCCUCCGCCUCGGCCUGCCGGGCUCCGAGUCCCCCGACCGCGACCGCGACCGGGACCGCUGCGAGGACGUCGCCGCCGCGCUCUCCCUCGGCCCGCUGCCUGCUACCCCCAAGGCGCCCGCUGCCGUCUCCGCCAAGCGCGCCUUCCCGGACCCCGCCCAGCGCCCCGGCGCUGCCAAGGCUAGCGACGACAAGCAGGCGUCCCCCGCCGCCCCGCCGGCCGCCAAGGCGCAGGUGGUGGGAUGGCCGCCCGUGCGGAACUACCGGAAGAACACCCUCGCCGCGAGCGCCUCCAGGAGCAAGGCGCCGGCGGCGGAGGACGCCGCGUCUGCGGCCCGGCCCAUGUACGUGAAGGUGAGCAUGGAUGGCGCGCCCUACCUCAGGAAGGUGGACAUCAAGAUGUACUCCAGCUACGAGGACCUCUCCGUGGCGCUCCAGAAGAUGUUCAGCUGCUUCAUCGCUGGUCAAAGUGGCCUGCAUAAAUCAUCGAGCAAAGACAGGCUGACUAAUGGCUCGAAGGUGGAUGCCCUCAAAGACCAGGAGUAUGUACUUACAUAUGAGGAUAAGGAUGCAGACUGGAUGCUUGUCGGUGAUCUUCCCUGGGACUAUGGUGACAUGCAAAUAACAGAAGGAUGAAAAGAAAAAAAAUGUACUUGUGGCGCAGUUAUUUUACCUCUAUCUGCCGGAAGCUCAAAAUCAUGAGGGGCUCUGAUGCUGUUGGAAUAGCUCCAAGAACCAUAGAGCAGACAGGUCAGAACAAAUAAGCUUGGUCUUUGCCUGCACCCACGCAAGAAAUCUGAGCUAGCUGGAAGGCCAUGUUGAAGGCUUAAAUAGUUGCUCGGAAUUAUCAAAAGUCGUCAAAUGUUAGUGUAGUUUCCACGUGUUCUUGAGACGUGUGUAUUUGUAUGUCUGUGAUGUGAUCCGUCAGAUCUGUUCUUGUGCCCUUCAAAGGCCAAAUCAGGGAGCUCUCUGCUUCCUGUGUAUGCUUGCUUUUUCCAGUAUUCCCUGUUAUUCUACUAUGAAAUCAUCCAUCGUGCCACAAAGAACUGAUGGUUCCUGAUGUCAAGAAAGCUGUCCGAAUUGUCUUCUUUUUACAGGAGAAAUUGGUGCUGCACUC